rnacentral:rRNA from 1 species
UACGAAGGGGGCUAGCGUUGCUCGGAAUUACUGGGCGUAAAGCGCACGUAGGCGGUCUUUUAAGUCGGGGGGUGAAAUCCUGGAGCUCAACUCCAGAACUGCCUUCGAUACUGGAAGACUUGAGUCCGGGAGAGGUGAGUGGAACUGCGAGUGUAGAGGUGAAAUUCGUAGAUAUUCGCAAGAACACCAGUGGCGAAGGCGGCUCACUGGCCUGAUACUGACGCUGAGGCACGAAAGCGUGGGGAGCAAACAGG